GACUAGCCCAGCUUUACGUUGCAAGUAUAAACCCAGACUCCUUUAGAAGGACAUUAUUAAAAUUUCCACUCCUCACUAUUGGUAAUAAAUAUUCAACCCUGGUCAGUAGAAAUUGUGGUUUGGUAAGUGUGGCAUGGACCCGGUCAGGCUUGUAAAGGUGCGAAACAUGUAGGCCUGGCUAUUAGUGUAGGAUAUUUCAAGCCCUGCAUAUAUUCCCAAAUAUUGU